GACGAACGCUGGCGGCGUGCUUAACACAUGCAAGUCGAGCGGAAAGGCCACUUCGGUGGUACUCGAGCGGCGAACGGGUGAGUAACACGUGAGUAAUCUGCUCCUGGCUUUGGGAUAGCCACCGGAAACGGUGAUUAAUACCGGAUACGACCACUUCUCGCAUGGGAUGGUGGUGGAAAGUUUUUUCGGCCAGGGAUGCGCUCGCGGCCUAUCAGCUUGAUGGUGGGGGAAUGGCUCACCAUGGCUUCGACGGGUAGCCGGCCUGAGAGGGUGACCGGUCACACUGGGACUGAGACACGGCCCAGACUCCUACGGGAGGCAGCAGUGGGGAAUAUUGGACAAUGGGCGGAAGCCUGAUCCAGCAACGCCGCGUGAGGGAUGACGGCCUUCGGGUUGUAAACCUCUUUCAGCAGGGACGAAGCGCAAGUGACGGUACCUGCAGAAGAAGCACCGGCCAACUACGUGCCAGCCGCCGCCGUAA
rnacentral:rRNA from 1 species